rnacentral:rRNA from 1 species
UGGGGAAUAUUGGACAAUGGGCGAAAGCCUGAUCCAGCCAUGCCGCGUGUGUGAAGAAGGUCUUCGGAUUGUCAAGCACUUUAAGUUGGGAGGAAGGGCAUUAACCUAAUACGUUAGUGUUUUGACGUUACCGACAGAAUAAGCACCGGCUGACUCUGUGCCAGCAGCCGCGGUAAUACAGAGGGUGCAAGCGUUAAUCGGAAUUACUGGGCGUAAAGCGCGCGUAGGUGGUUUGUUAAGUUGGAUGUGAAAUCCCCGGGCUCAACCUGGGAACUGCAUUCAAAACUGACUGACUAGAGUAUGGUAGAGGGUGGUGGAAUUUCCUGUGUAGCGGUGAAAUGCGUAGAUAUAGGAAGGAACACCAGUGGCGAAGGCGACCACCUGGACUAAUACUGACACUGAGGUGCGAAAGCGUGGGGAGCAAACA